rnacentral:lncRNA from 1 species
CUACGUGUUUGCAGAAAAAUGCAGGGCAAGGUUGAGCCACAGUGAGUGGGUGGCAGGGCAGUCCCAGCCAAGAUCAACGACUGGAAGACACCACUCAUGGGCCUAAGGCUGCACGGGUGCCGCCCCAGGACUGAGACUUCACCCACAGGGACGCCUGCGUCCCGGAGUAAUCAGUGCAUGGCAGGUGGAGUGAGAAAAGCAUCCUUGAAAGGCUGUCCUGAGGACGGUGGGCUGGAUCCUGAAAGUCGUGCAGAGCCUCACAAGCGAUAGAGGAAUCAGAUGCACAUUUUAGAAGCUCAUCGGGCUGUACACAUGGUUGGG